UUCUCCCUUAACUGCUUCCAUUUCAUCUCCAUUGUCAUCUUCAUCGCCAUCCGCUUCACCAUCAUACACGCGCAACACCUCAGCACCAUCGUCUUCAAUUGUGCAUUUCCAUCAUCAUAAUUUUCGUUCAUCAUACUCACCCAUUACCUUCACUUUCUUCUUACUCACGGCCAACCAUCUUUUCUCCAUUGACACUAAAAAACAGAGACCAUACAAAUAACUUCAUCACAUUACAAAUAGCCCCUCGCGUUCCUUCUUCUCAACCUCAUCACUAACUUUUCUCCUUCAAACAUCAACCUUCACUUCACCCAGAUUCUAAAAAAAUGUAGAAAAAAAAAGAACAGGAAAAGCCAUGGUGGGUGCAUCCUCAAUAAAGAGAGACAAUAAAGUGCUCUUUGAUUCUUGAAUAUGGGCAACGUCAUUGAAUCGUUUGCUUCGGGCUUAGGACAGGCAUUUGGUAAACUAUUUAGUUCUCCAAUUGAAUUUCUUUCUGGAAAGUCUUGCAGGUAAGACCACGCAGGGUUAUAUUUCUUCACUUCCACUUCAUGCUUGAUAUAUUUGUCUCUGGAUAUGUUUCAGCUCAGUGUGUGGACCAACAUGGGAUUUCAUGUGCUAUAUCGAAAAUUUUUGCAUUUCCAAUAUCCUGAAAUUAGCCAUGUUCUGUUGUUCUUCUAUCUGGUGCAUAAAUUGGGCAUAUGUGGAUGUCUUUGCCGAUCUUCUUGCAAAAUGACAUGGGCAUGUUUCUCUUCGUGUUUCCAUCUUUGGGAGUAUUCUUGCACUUUCUUGUGUAUUAAGCUACACAAUAUCAGGAGAACAAGGAGAAUAAGAAGGGUCAGAGUGGACAUGAAAAAAAAAAUCUACUCGGGUGAAAUCCUUUCCCACCAUUUUCCAACAUGUACAAAAAUGAGCAGAUCAAUUUCGCGUAGUAGAGAUUAUAAAGCCUCCCACCUAAGGAAGUCUUUGCAACCAAGGAGACAUCAUGCUAGAGUUGAAAUCAGUAGAUAUCUUAGAUGUAAAAGUAAAAGGAAUCAUAGUCUUGGAGAGCCCAGUUUCACAAGCAAUGCCAUUAAGCACGGCAAUCACAUAGGCAAAAUCAAUGACAUUAAGGUAAUCCGUACAUCUAAGUUUACAAGAAAAGGUAUAUCUAGAAGGAAUAGAGUUCUGCUGAGGCAGAGAAGGCAGAAUCUUAGUUGAGGGUUCUUAUGCGAACCACUUUGUCUCGCUGUAUGUUUUGUCAGGAUGAAAAACAAAAAAAUGGAAUAUAGGAGAAUCUGGAAUGUUAAGAAUUUAUUCUUGGGUUUGUAAAAUAUUGUAAAUAUCCAGUUGUAAGAUAUUGCAAAUAUUGUAAAAUA